GCCGGGGGUGCGGGAGGCCCAGAGCCGGACCGCUUCCGGUGCGGUGGCCGUGGGGAGGGGGCGGUCGGUGCCCUGGCCCUGGGCCAGGAGCCGGUC
rnacentral:tRNA from 1 species